UAACUUAAAGGAAUUGACGGAAGGGCACCACCAGGGGUGGAGCCUGCGGCUUAAUUUGACUCAACACGGGGAAACUCACCAGGUCCAGACACAAUAAGGAUUGACAGAUUGAGAGCUCUUUCUUGAUUUUGUGGGUGGUGGUGCAUGGCCGUUCUUAGUUGGUGGGGUGACUUGUCUGCUUAAUUGCGAUAACGAACGAGACCUUAACCUGCUAAAUAGCCCGCAUUGCUCCGGCAGUGCGCUGGCUUCUUAGAGGGACUUUCGGCUCAAGCCGAAGGAAGUUUGAGGCAAUAACAGGUCUGUGAUGCA
rnacentral:rRNA from 1 species